GAUCAUGGCUCAGGAUGAACGCUAGCGACAGGCUUAACACAUGCAAGUCGAGGGGCAGCACAGGGUAGCAAUACUUGGGUGGCGACCGGCGCACGGGUGAGUAACGCGUAUGCAACUUACCUAUCAGAGGGGGAUAGCCCGGCGAAAGUUGGAUUAAUACUCCAUGAAACAUGGGUCCCGCAUGGGAAUAUUUGUUAAAGAUUCAUCGCUGAUAGAUAGGCAUGCGUU
rnacentral:rRNA from 1 species